rnacentral:lncRNA from 1 species
AAAAAGAAUGCUGCAUUGAAACUGAUUAAUGACAAUAAAUAUAUAAUUAACAAAUCCUUCUCUCCCUCCUUCCAAAUAAACUCGGUUGUCUCUCUCUCUCUUAUACCAAGCACGCAUUCUUUCUCUCUCUCUUGCCAAGCGUGAAAAAACAAAAAAAAAUCCAGAUCCUCAUUGUUCAGAUCUCAAAUCGUUCAUGCAACAAAGAUAUAUAUCUCAACCAAACUCCAUCAAAUGAAACAUACCUCAGAAUCCAUGAACACACACAAACAAGCAUAUGCAAAUCAAUACUCAUAUCCUAUUUUGAACCCUGACACCCCAUUUCCAAUACUUUGUCUUUGUUUACAAACUACAAAUGUGAGAGAACAUUAAACCAACAAGACUAUUGAGAGAGAAAAAUAUAUCAAGCUAAUAAAAUGCUACCAAGAUGAAGAUUAAAGAGUUUCGGGGUCUCUAGGUACUUGCUGCUCUCUCUAUCUCCCUUUCUUCUCUGGGCUAUCCUCCUUCUCCUUAUGUUAUCCUCUUUUCUGUAAUGUGUUUGUGAGUGCAAUUAGAAAUUUUGGUUUAUAGUUUUGUGAAGGUAGGGUGAAAUUUGUGCAAUAUUUCGUUAUGAUUUUUUUCUUUGUAGGUGAUGUGAAGCUCUAUUUAUAGAGUGAAGAGAGAGUCUUGAAAUCGUGUGAAGAAUUCCUUCACAUGUGUGAGCAUUUGAGAUUUUGGAUAAGGAUUGAGAAAGAAAUUGUUAAGGAAGAGCUUCCAAAUCCCAAAUUUUGUGGGUGUUGUGCGUGAAAAAUUUCCUUCUUUUUCUUCUCAAUGUAAUUUUUGUCUUUUCUAAAUCUGAGCAGAUAUUUUUAGUGUAUUUUUGUAUUUUCUAAAAUGUAAUCUUCUUCUCCUUUUUUUACUGAUGUAACUCUAAGUUAAUUAUUGAAUAUAAUCCUAUUCAUUUCAUUGAUAAAAAACUUGUACUCAUGUAAAUACAAUGCACUCCCACAUGUACAUGUCAUUUGGAGUCAAAAGUUACUGAUAUGAUGAACAUGGUUUUGUUUAAAUUUUUUAGUGAUGUGGUUAGUUAUUAAUAAAAUAAAAUGAAAUUGAUGGGAUAAAAAUAGUUAUUAGAAAAAUAAAUAAAAAUGAGAAAGAAAUAAAGAUCCUAAUUAAUAAGAAAAAGAAAUAAAGAUGAGGUAAGGAUGAUUAUAAAAAAAAAUUAAAAUGGGAUUAGUUAUUAUUAAAAUUAGAAAUGAAAUAAAAUGUGAUAAUAAUAAUUAUUAAAUUGAGGAAUAAAAUAAAGUAUGAUAAUAGUUAUUACUAAAAAUGAGAAACAAAAAUUGGAUGAUAAUUAUGAAUAAAAACUAAAAUUAAAAUGAGAUAAAAAGGUUGUUUAGAAAAAUGAAACAAACAUGGGAUAAUAUAUUUAUUAAAAAAAGAGAUAACAUGAUUAUUUUUAAAGUGAAAUAAAAAAGAAAAUAAUAAAAUAUUUAUAACAAUGAAAAUAAUGCAGUUUAAUAUACGUAAUCGGGCUCAUGAUUUGGAGGAUCUGAUGCAUGGGGGAUUCAAGUCAUUGAAUGACACAUGGGGAUCAGUUUUAUAUGAUGAAUGAUGCAAAUUAAAGCAUUGAAUAUAUGCAAAUGAAUUCCUCAAUGAUGAAAAAAGACAUAACCAAAUGCAAUGGUCAGGUUAGUGCAUAUGAAAAAAAAAGAACUGCAACGUUAUGUAGGCAGGACAAAUUUGGGGUAUGACAGAUGCCCCUAUUUAAUUAACUUGAACUAGAAGGUAAUAAUAACAACGGUCUUCAUACAUUCGUGGUGGAAGGUAAUUAAAUAAGAAAAAACCCAAAUUUUGUCCUUUGAAAUGCAAUGGAGGAAUGCAUAAAGAAAAUGCAACGAAUUCUAACAACACCUAGGUAUUAGUGGUAGAAUGUCAAGUCAAUGCCAACCCUCGAGUCGACAUUCAAAUCAUACAAAGGUCAUUAUUGACAUGAGGACAAUGGCGAGACUAAAACUGAACAGGUUUUCUGGCACCAAAAGGAUGAUAGUGUGAUAAGGAAUUUCCACCACCAAAAGGAUGAUUGUAAUUCAUCACGAUUUCCAGGCUCGUCAUCACCAAAAGGAUGAUGGUUAAACCAAGCUUCAAAGGUAGCCAUCACCCAAAAGGUUGAUGGUAAGAUUAAUAACCAAACUUGCUGUCACCAAAAGGAGGAUAGUUAGACACAAUAACCAAAAUGAUCAUCACCAAAGGAUGAUGGUUAGACCAAUAAAAUUCAAAGAUUUCCAUCACCAAAAGGAUGAUGUCCAUCACCCAAAGGAUGAUGGUUAUCCUGAUAAGGCUUUCCAUUACUGAGAGGAUAAUAACAAGAAUACCACCAAAAGGAUGAUAGUUAACUCAUCAACUUCAAAGAUCACCGUCACCAAAAGGAUGAAGGUAAGAUCCAACAACCAAACUUGUUAUCACCAAAAGGAUGAUAGUAAGUUAAUAACUUCAGUGAUUACCAUCGCCAAAAGGAUGAAGGUAAGACCAAUAACAAAACUUGUUAUCACCAAAAGGAUGAUAAUAAAUCAAAGAUCACCAUCACCAAAAGGAUGAAGGUAUUAUCAAACAACAAAACUUGUUACCACCAAAAGGAUGAUAAUAAGUCAUAACCACUUCAAUGACCACCAUCACUAAAAGGAUGAAGGUGAAACCAAUAACAAAACUUGUUAUCACCAAAAGGAUGAUAAUAAGUCAUAACGACUUAAAUGAUCACCAUCACCAAAAGGAUGAAGGUAUUAUCAAACGAUAAAACUUGAUACCACCAAAAGGAUGAUAAUAAGUCAAACUUUAAUGAUUGCAGUCACCAAAAGGAUGAAAGUAAGAUCAAAACAAAACCCGUUAUCACCAAAAGGAUGAUAAUGAGUCAACAAUCACCAUCACCAAAAGGAUGAAGGUGAGAUCAUAACUUCGAGACUUGUUACCACCAAAAGGAUGAUACCAAGUUAUAAUAACUUCAAAUAUCACUGACACCAAAAGGAUGACAGUAAGAUUGAACUUUCCCAAUGUCACAAUCACCGAAAGGAUGAUAGCUUAAACCGAACUUCAUAAUCUCUACCACCAAAAGGAUGAUAUUUAGAUUGAACUGGACGCCAUCACCAAAAGGAUGAUGAUUAGACAUAAUAACAGAGAUCACCAUCAACAAAAGGAUGAUGGUUGAACCAAAAUGACAAGGAUCCCUAUCACCACAAGGAUCACCGACACCAACAGGAUGACGGUAAGCUGUAAUAAUUGCAUAGGUCGCCGUUCACCAAAAGGAUGAAAGUUAGGACAAAACUUCAGGGAUCGCCGACACCAAAAGGACGACGGUAAGACCAUGAAUGUCAAGGGUUUACCAUUACCAAAAGGAUAACAGUUAUCAUAAACAAGGCAAUGAUCAUUAUUCAUCAAGGGACUUUCACCAAAAGGAUGAUAGUAAGAAGAACCAUGUUGGAAAGUCAGACUACCGACAAAAGUUCCAAUAGAGCAGACCUGUUGGAUAGCAUUGGAACAUUAAUGGGUAAGACUUUCUUAGGGGUAUCAACAACAAAAGGUUGCAAAACAAUACUCUGAAAGAUGUAAUUUCCAUCAACAAAAGGUUAAAGGUUAUAAUUCAACGGGGAACGCCCAAUGAGAAACAAGGUAGGAGUUUUAAAGAAACAUCAUUUGACUCAACUGAGGAUAACAUUUCGUCAACAAAAGGGUUAAAGGAUGUAACUCAAUGGGGAACACCCAACAAUACAGGGUAGGAACUCACUCAGAGAGAACAAUAAUGACUCCGCUGAAGGUUGGCCUGGAUACCUAUGACUAAACCUUGGAUCUUGAUUCGUGCUAUAUGCAUAAAUGUCAUGUAUGCGUUAUGUAUGGGGUGAUGCAUGUAAAGGAUGAUUGGUUUGUUUGGGAUUGGCUCCCCUUUUCAAAGGCAAUGUCUUUUCUGGUUACCAAUGUUGGUUGUAUUUGUUUUUAUGAAGAUGCCAGCGAAGUUGGACUUUGGGUUUUUUGGUUAUUGUUGCUGUGGAUUGGACUUUUGGUUGAUGGAAAGAUCUGACUUCCCGACACUCGGUAGUUGAUGAUAUGAUGAUCGAACAAACGGAUGUGGAUACUCUCGGUGCCCCAAGUUUUAUUUCUUGCUGAUACAUUGUGUCUUUGCCCCAUAGGCAAUCUCGACUUCUUCUUCUGAGAUGUCUGGCUAGCCUGUAACUGAGCAUAGCGACAUGAUCAACACAUGUUGAUUUUGCAUUUGACGUGCCCUAAGGAUUCUUGUCAAGAUAUGAUGUUGCGCUAACAUGAACUUUCGAUGUUUUGUUGCAAAUCUAAACGGUCACAUGUGUCUGACAUAGUCUGCUUGACCGACUUGAAGAUAUGGAGGGGAUUUGCCCCUUGCAACUUGUCUUGUCCCCGUCUGUAGGGUGUCAAAAGGAAUUCUCCUUGAAAGGAACCCUUAGGAGUGAUUAUCCCAUGACAUGGUUUGAGUCUGUUUCCUCAAAGGUCUGACUCUUGCAAUGGUUUGCCCCUUGAUUAGCCUUUGAGGGACUUACCUCAGACGGGCUGAACAUUGAAGUGUCUUUCCUCCCUGAUCAACCGAUGCUUGGAGAUUUGUCUUAUGCUGGUAAAAACUUAAGUCAACCUAAUCAUUAGAUUGCCCCUGAUCCAUAGGAUUACGAGGUGGUUUUAAUUUGUGUUGGCACCAACGAUCAAGUACCUCUCAAAUUGCCCCUUGUUGGAAUUUUCCUCGAUGUCAAGUACUGACUUGCAGUUUAAGAAAUGUUCAUUCAAGAAAUGGAGAUUUUAAUGCAAUAGUUAUGCAAGUUUUGAAAAACAAUCAUUCCUCUGGAGUGUUGUGGUAGUGUGUGACGAGUGGACCAUGACUCCAAACACGGUGCUAAUUUUAGCUAGCGUGUGAGUAAUAGUGAGAAUAGAAUAUUAGCAAAUCUCUAGGAGUCAGUUUACGCAACCUUGCUGCAGUAUGCUUUCAGAAUAAACCCUACUUCAAUUAGGUCUUUUGAAGGUUGUAACGUGGCUUGGUUCACGGUUAUUGAAAUAAAAGGAUAUAAGGCUCAAAUUUCAUUUUAACCCACCCCUUCUUCAUGAUGAUCUCCAAUCCUACGUUCAGUUAAUUUGAUACAUACAUUAAACUUUUACGAGAGUUUAGUAGUGUAAGAUCUCUUGAAAUGACAGUUAUCUCAUUUUGUCCUUCGUGGAUAUGGGCCUUUUGAUUUUGGUAUGGUGGUCACCGAAUCUUAUUUUGCUUGUCAAGGACUUCCAUUGUCUCUUUCAAUUUUGUUUUGAUCCCUAACUUUUACAUGGAGUGCUUUUGAAGCUUUGAUCCAUCGGGAUUGCCCCAGUUUUUGCCUAAGUCUCCUAUUUGGGUGUUCGACUUAGCGAGCUCUUUCUUUGAUUUUUUUUUGAAAAUUAUGAUUGCCAAGUCAUUGGUCAUUUGAAGAACAAUCGACAUAAAUUUUGGACUUUGUACGGUUCCUUCGACACUUCAGGAUGUUUGCGAAGAAUAUUAUGUGGUUGAUCCUUGUAUGGGAUAUCUCCUCUUGUGAUUCGAAUGUGUAGUCAGAUUAACUGAACACUACCCUGCCCCAGGUUAAGCGUAAGAGUUUUGUAGAUCCGAAAGAAACUCCUACUUCUAGGCUCGAAGUGGUUGACUAGGGAUUAACUCCUUAUGUCUCCAGUGUUUGGGGAUUUGAAACAAUGCAUGUACAUCAUUAGCAGGAUUUUAUUCGAAAGCAUUCAAUAAACAAUUAUGAGUAUUUUGUUUUCGUUAUCCUCCUUCCAACAUUUACUAAUAGUGUGAUAAAGAAGGUGAAGUGGAAAAGUAUAUGUUUGUGCUUUGCAAAUGUGAUAGAUGAGUGAACAUGAAAGAUUGAUUCAAAGCAUGCAUAAUCACCCCAUUAAUAAAACCAAAUACAAAUAACAAUGUUUAAAGCAUACAAUACUUAGACAAACAAGGACAAAUUACAAGAAUGCGAAACGCUGAAAAUGGCAUAAUGAUUGCCUUCAUUCAAAGCAACGGGCCUUCAUAUCUUGAUCCUUCAUUAGAAAUUGCUCUGCUUGUUCAGGUCGGUGAGAAGCUUUAUCUCCGAGCUUCACUCUGCUUCCCAUGCGCCGGCAUGGGGUUUGUCGCAACAUUCGGCCUAACUGGCAUAAAGGAGACUGCCUUGCUAUCAAUCAAGUCUUGAACCUUGUGUUUGAAGGCCUUAUAGUUAUCUAUUGUGUGCCCUGGGGCACCCAUAUGAUACUCACAAUGAGCAUUGGCGUCGUAGCCUGGUGGAUAGGGUGGAGUUGCAGGCGUUAGCUCCUUCAAAACAACUAAUCCAUCCUUUAGUAGGUAGGGGAGGAUCUUGCUGUAUGGUACUGGAAAUGGAUCAAAAUGUCUUUCUAGCCUCCUUGCCCUCUGCUGGUUGGGUUGAUGUGCGGUGGAGCACGUUGUUGUUGAUUCUGAUGCGACUGCUGGUAAGCUGGCUGUUGAUACGACUGCUAAUAUUGUUGUUGAUAUGGUUGCUGAUAUGGUGGCUUAUAUGGUGUUGGGAUGACAGCGGCAAUCUGAUGGUAAGGUAUAGGAACAUACAGAUGUGUCUUAUAUCCUCCUCCUUCCAUUAUGGCAUUGGUAUGACCCUCUGGCUUCUUUGGGAGGUUGGGAUAGGGUUUCUUCAUCCCACUUGAAGCAAUGGCGGCGCAAGGUAACUUUCCCUUCCUGAUCUGGCUCUCGAUUCGUUCUCCCACGGAGGCAACCUCAAUAAAAGUUGGGAAGCUGGAUCCUACCAUUUUCUCCAUGUAUUGGGUAUGCAGAGUUCCCAUAAACAAAUCAAUUAGUUCCUUACCGAGGAGAGGAGGUUGGACACAGGCUGCUAGCUCUCUCCAACGCUGGGCGUACUCCUUGAAUGAUUCGUUGUUGCGUUGAGUCAUGUCUUUGCAGCUAGGUGCGAUUGGGCGCUAGAUCAGUAUUAUAUUGAUAAUGCCUAAGAAAGGCUUCAGCGAGGUCUUUUCAUGACUGGACCUGACCUCUCUCUAACUGCAUGUACCACUCCAAGGAUGCCCCACUGAGGCUAUCUUGGAAGUAAUGAAUCAGGAGUUGAUCAUUGCUAAUGUGGGAAGCCAUCUUGCGAUAGUAAGCUCUGAGGUGAGUUCUAGGGAAACUGAUCCCUUUGUAUUUGUCAAAGUCCGGGACUUUGAAUUUUCGCGGAAUCACGAGACCUGGCACGAGACACAUAUCGACAACAUCCAAAUCGGGAGUAGUGUGAACCUCCAAGGAUUUGAAUUUUUCUUCCAGAGCAUGGAGUCUCUCAACAGUUGGGUCUAGGAGACCUCCAACAACAGGCUUGACGGGUUGUGGCAUGAAGAAAGCAUCAUAUGGAUCUUCAUCACCUAUCACAGAUCCGUGCCGAGCAGAUGUAGCAGAAUGCUCAUGGGGGUUCAUGUUGACCAUGGGAACAGGAAUAAGGAUAGGUCCUCCUUUAGGAUGGACGGGAUUACCAUCAAGGUUAGUUACUUCAGGGAUGCUAAGCGAUGACGAUCCGAACUGAGCAGCAACUCUUCUGGCUUCGGCGCUAGCCUCAGCAUCUUUCUCCUUCUGGGCUAAGAGCAACAUAGUUUCAAGUAAGCGGUCCAUCUUUUCCUGCAUGGAGUCAAUGUCUGUCCUCAUUGAAAUUUGGUUUGCCUCAAGUUGUUUGAGUGUCAUCUUGUAGUUGCGGCGUGUCUCGUACCGGUGUCGAGUAGUCAGCGUUACUGGGCAAAGGGUAGAAUAUGGUGUAAGUUUUUGUUUUUGGAUAAUGAUAUGCAAUGCAUGUUGAUGAUAUGCAAAUGCAUGAAAUUUUGCCAUGUUUUUCCACAAGGAAUACAUAUACUUAAGAUCAUUCACACGUCGUGUACAUCAGGAUAAUAGGAAGAAGCACGGGUUUCUCUGAUUACUAGAAAUUCCCAAAGGUAGGUUCUAAAGUUAUGUUUUCAAGGAAGGAACUUAGACUCACGAAUCAGGUUCAAAACUUCCUCGCAAUGGUGGGUUAGCCACACCGUGAUGGAAGUUCUGAACUGAUCUAAUCUAAGUGGGAUUCUCGUAUUAUUCGAGCAGGGUGUAGACCCUUCGGCCCAAUACUACACGAUCUCCAAUCACGAAAACAAAACUUGGGUUUAAGGCGAGGUUCCUAGAGUCACGAAUCGUAUUUAAAAUUUCCUCACAAUAAUGGGAUAGCCAUAUUGUGAUGGAGAUUCCAAACAGAUCUACUCUAGGUGGAGUCUUCGUAUUAUCCCAAUGAGGUGUAUACCCCUCGGUUCAAUACUACACAACUCCGGGUUCUAAGUUCUUCUCGAAGCUUGGGUGUGAAGCUUAUCUCACAGCAAACAUCAAGUCCUAUAUCAAAGUAUCAACACAUUACAUACAAGCAACAUAAUAAGAUACAAAGAAGCAAUACGAAAGAAAAUAAUAUUAUUUUAACAUUCAUAGCAAGUUGGACUAAAUUAGGCUAGACUCGCUCUUUCUUGGAGCAGGGUCCCCAGGAGAGUCGCCAAUCUGUCGCACCUCAAAAAAUGCGAUCCCUCGCGAUGGAUGCGGAAAAAAAAUUUGUUCGAACAGAGUCGCCACCGAACUUUAUUCAUUCCAAUGAAGGAAUAGGAAAAUAUCGACAAAACCUUUAAAAAAGAAUAAUGGUCGUCACAACCAUAUUCGGAUUCGAGAGUCGAUUACGCAAGGGGAAGGUAUUAGCACCCCUUACGUCCAUUGUACUCAACGGGAACCUUUUAGUCUAAUUUGCUAUUUGAAUGUUAGUUGACUGUUAUUUACUUUCUUCGAGUAAUUAGAAUUGAUAAUAGAGAUGGAUGAAGACCUCAGAAGGGGGAAAGGGAGGUUUUUUAUUAGUGUGCUCACGAAGAUACAAAAAUCUCUUGCCUAUGUAUCCUUAUGGUGCAAUAAGGAAGUUAGAGCAUUCGUAGUUCGGGGACUACGAUUUGGUUGGUGUGUUUUUUAAUGAACGACUGUGCAGAUCGGUGUUCUAAAGGCUAAAUGUUGGCUUGUCAACUCUCGGCGGAGGCUUAAGCACUAGUUUGUUGUGCGCAUUAUAAAGGAUUAACAAUGUUCUUUUUGAAAAGGGUUUUGGUCACGCAGGGGUGAUAAGUUGAAUUGAUGUGUUUGAUUGGUUUGUUUCGAUCGCACGGGGGCGAGAAAUUGGGUUUGAUGUGUUAAGAUAUUUUGAGGAACGACGAAAGAUUGAGCAAUGUAGUGCACACCAAUCGUUCGAUUCUUUCGAGGAAUAAUAAGGUGGACGCCUUCUACUCGUUUUUUCGUUCGAAUUAUUAUCAAAAGUUGUUUGAGGAUGUCGAAUAUGCACGGUAGUGAGGCGUGCGCCUCCCACUUGCUUAUUCAAGGAACAAUGAGGCGUGAGCCACUCAUUCCUUUAUCCAAUGUUUACUUAGUAUUUUAAUGGGAAGUUAAUAACUUGAGCAAUAUGGCGAGCGCCAAUCACCAAAUAUUCGAGAGAUGGUGAGGCGAACGCCUCCCGUUCUUCUUCAUCCGAGGUUUAAGUUGUAAAACUAUUUGUUGAUUUGAAAAAUAAUUUGAACUUAUAUGAUUAAAGUUUUAAUCGAGUGACAAGAAUUCGAGCAAUAUGGCGUGCGCCAAUCGUUCGAGUACUUGAGGAAUAGUGAAGCGAACGCUUCCUAUACUCCUUUUCAUCCCAAACUUAAAUUAUAAAAGAACAUCCUUUAGAAAUUAAGUUGUUUAGAAAAAAAGAUUUGAAUUUGUAAGCUUUUAGAGUUUUAAUUGAAUGACGAAAAUUCGAGCAAUGUGGCGAACGCCAAUUAUUCGAAUAAUCGAGAGAUAGUGAAACAAAUGCUUACUAAUCUCCUUUUCAUCCAAAGAUUAUUUUAAAUAGUUUUCAAGAGUAUAUUAAUUAAAUAUUUUGAACUUGAAUUUAUUAUAAUUAAUAUGUUUUAAGAAAAAUUAUUUGGCGUUGGACCGAGGUUUGAAUUGGUGUUUGGUGAAUAAAUUGUGGUGAAUCAAUCAUCUACUCGAUUAAUUAAUAACCGAAUAGGUCUCAUUAUAAGAAAGCCCAAGUGUGAGCUAUGUGAUGUUGAUGGCGAUGCUAAAAAGCGAUUGACUUACAAAGGUGUGGGAAAUGAUGUUGAAUCGAGAAUUAGUUUGAAAAUGGUUUAAGUGUGUAAGUGAGAAAUAAAAAUCAAGAUAUUAUCAUAACAUGGGAUUAUCAUAUGAGAAAUUGCAUAACCAAAAUAAUAUAUCAAAGAUCACACAAAUGAACCAAAUUAAAUAAUAAAAAAAUAUUAACUAAAAUUAAAUAUGAUUAUUUAAUAAAAUUAAUCAAUAAUUUAAUUAAUUAAUAUUAAAUAAAUAUGUUUAAAAUAAUUAACAAUAUAUUUUUUUAUAUUUUUAUAAUAUAUGAAAAAAUACAAUUGAUAUUUAAAAUAAACAAAGCUAAAUGUAAAAAACAUAAUAGCAUAAAAAAAUAAUAAUAAUAAAAAUGAAAUGGAGUGUAAAUAUAAUAUGGGGUAAUGGGAUUAUUAGGAAAGGAAAUGGGCUCAGAGUUAAGCCCACUAAAAAACUCUAAAGAAAUAACACAAAAAAUGGAUAGAGUGGAAGAAAGAUUGUCGCCCCACCCUUUGUUUGGAUGCGCUGCACAUCAUCAUGGGGUAACUUGACCCAUUCAAAUGCACUCCAAUUAAAUCAUUAAUAAUAUUAUAGAUAAAUAAAAAGAAGAAAAAAAUGAUGAUGCAUUGAAACAGAUGCAUGCUGCCUAAAAUCAUAAAAGGCUACAUGUUUCCCUAUCAUUUUGGACUAAUUCAAAAUUUAAAAUAACCCAUUUCACAUGUUUUAAUGACAUUAAAAAAAAGAAUAUUAAAGUGAGAAGAAGGAAAAAAGAAUGCUGCAUUGAAACUGAUUAAUGACAAUAAAUAUAUAACUAACAAAUCCUUCUCUCCCUCCUUCCAAAUAAACUCGGUUGUCUCUCUCUCUUAUACCAAGCACGCAUUCUUUCUCUCUCUCUUGCCAAGCGUGAAAAAAACAAAAAAAAUCCAGAUCCUCAUUGUUCAGAUCUCAAAUCGUUCAUGCAACAAAGAUAUAUAUAUCUCAACCAAACUCCAUCAAAUGAAACAUACCUCAGAAUCCAUGAACACACACAAACAAGCAUAUGCAAAUCGAUACUCAUAUCCUAUUUUAAACCCUGACACCCCAUUUUCAAUACUUUGUCUGUGUUUACAAACUACAAAUGUGAGAGAACAUCAAACCAACGAGACUAUUGAGAGAGAAAAAUAUAUCAAGCUAAAAAAAUGCUACCAAGAUGAAGAUUAAAGAGUUUCGGGGUCUCUAGGUACUUGCUGCUCUCUCUAUCUCCCUUUCUUCUCUGGGCUAUACUCCUUCUCCUUCUGUUAUCCUCUUUUCUGUAAUGUGUUUGUGAGUGCAAUUAGAAAUUUUGGUUUAUAGUUUUGUGAAGGUGGGGUGAAAUUUGUGCAGCAUUUCGUUAUGAUUUUUUUUCUUUGUAGGUGAUGUGAAGCUCUAUUUAUAGAUUGAAGAGAGAGUCUUGAAAUCGUGUGAAGAAUUUCUUCACAUGUGUGAGCAUUUGCGAUUUUGGAUAAAGAUGGAGAAAACAAUUGUUAAGGAAGAGCUUCCAAAUCCCAGAUUUUGUGGGUGUUGUGCGAGAAAAAUUUCCUUCUUUUUCUUCUCAAUGUAAUUUUUGUCUUUUCUAAACCUGAGCAGAUAUUUUUAGUGUAUUUUUGUAUUUUCUAAAAUGUAAUCUUCUUCUCCUUUUUUUACUGAUGUAACUCUAAGUUAAUUAUUGAAUAUAAUCCUGUUCAUUUCAUUGAUAAAAAACUUUUACUCAUGCAAAUACAAUGCACUCCCACAUGUACAUGUCAUUUGGAGUCAAAAGUUACUGAUAUGAUGCACAUGGUUUUGUUUA